rnacentral:rRNA from 1 species
AGUGAACGCUGGCGGCGUGCCUAAUACAUGCAAGUCGAACGGAAUUUAAAAGAGCUUGCUCUUUUAAAUUUAGUGGCGCACGGGUGAGUAAUAUAUAGCUAAUCUGCCCCUUGCUGGAGGACAACAGUUAGAAAUGACUGCUAAUACUCCAUACUCCUUUUUACCAUAAGAUAAAUCGGGAAAGAAUUUCGGCAAGGGAUGAGACUAUAUCGUAUCAGCUAGUCGGUGGGGUAACGGCCUACCGAGGCUAUGACGCGUAACUGGUCUGAGAGGAUGAUCAGUCACAUUGGAACUGAGACACGGUCCAAACUCCUACGGGAGGCAGCAGUAGGGAAUAUUGCGCAAUGGGGGAAACCCUGACGCAGCAACGCCGCGUGGAGGAUGACACUUUUCGGAGCGUAAACUCCUUUUGUUAGGGAAGAAUAAGACGGUACCU